UAAGUUAUACUUAUCCAACGAUAAGAAAAAUCAAAACCUAUCUCAUUCUCUUACUUUUCACCUUUGGCCACUAUAGAACCAAAGAGAAAAUCAGUUUUUCUCUUCUAAUUCAGACCAAAAUAUUGAGUGCUUGUAGCAAGAAUUUGAGUAGUUAGUAAAAGAAUAACCCAAGAGGCCUCUAAAUCUUCAAGCAACUGUUUCCACUCAAGCUGACCGACACACCUGAAAUCAGAAUUAAGGCUAGUUCAAUAGAAUGGAUGCUAGGAAAAACACGAGAAGCCAAGGAAAUUUGAUCCGAUCAAGUGGUGGUUAGGGAGUUCAUAUUCCCCCUAAUGUUCAUGGUCGAGGCAGAGGUCGAAGAGGUGUAGCUAAUGGUCGAAUAACGUUAACCCACCAUAGGCUGCCUAGAAUUGGGAGUAGAGGUUUGUAGAAAUUCAAGGCAAAAUUAAUGAUCAAGACGAAGAAAUCUGAUGCCUAAGGCAGAAGGGUGCUUCUGUGAUGCAUGCUCCUGAGGUGCAAAUAGCUCUUGCUCCUGUUGUGCAAGUGGAGUAGGUUGUUGUUGGUAAUUGUAUGGAACCAUUAUAUGAAAAGUUUUGUAAGCAAGCACCUCCAGUCUUUUUGGGAGGUCCAGAUGCUAUGAAAGUCGAGCAAUGGUUAACAGUUAUCAACAGAAUACUGGGUGUCACUGGCAAAAAUCAGGUGACCUGUGCCACCUUUCAAUUCCAAGAGGAUGCCCUGGUGUGGUGGGAUAUAGUGUCCCUUACUCGUGACAUUACUAAAAUUACCUGGAAAGAGUGCCAAGAUUUGUUUAACGCUAAGUACUAUAAUGAAGCACUUCAUAGUACAAAAACGAAAUAAUUCACCUAGUUGGCUUGAGGAGUCAAUAUGUCGGUUACAGAGUACAUGACCCAGUUUAGUAGAUUGCCUUGAUUAGCCUCGAGAAUUAUGCUAAUCAAUUUCAACAAGAGGGAAAAGUAUUUAGCGGGAUUGAACAUGAAAUCAAACAUGAUUUGAUGAUUACCACUGAUGACACGAUUACUUAUGAUGCUAUGGUAGAGAAGGCACCAUAAGCUGAGGGCACAAUAGAAUGGAUUUAGGAGUCCCUGGGACACAAAGUGUUGGUGAGGCCACUACUUCUCCUACCUCUGGUUUCAGUAGGUGGUAGCGACUUAACCACUGAUCAAAAGAGGAAAGUUCCAUUUGUGUUCGGUGGCUCGAGUCAAAAUAAGAAGUUCUGAGAAAACUAAGGCCAUGGUAAUCAACAGGGUGGUUCUGAGAGCUGUUACACUUACCUGGAAUGCGCUAGUUGUAAGAAGCAUUAUUUGGGUGAGUGUAAGCACCAAGCAUGUUUCCAGUGCGGUAUACCUGGACAUUAUAAAAGAGAUUGCCUAAAGUUAAAGAAAGAAGAGUAGAAAAUAGAGGCAAACCCGCUCUAGCUAGGGUGUUUACCCUUACUCAAGUCAAUGCUAAAUCUAGCCCUUUAGUGGUGACAAGUUAGCUUUUAGUCAACAACUUUUUUUACUCUGUAUUGUUUGAUUCUGGAGCCAUACAUUCCUAUGUGGCAGCCAAAGUAAAUGAUAAGUUGGAUAGGUUAUGUGGCAAUUAUGAUAUAGGGUUUGGAACCCUGAUGCAUGGCAAAGAAUUAGUUAUCUUUAAAAUGUGGAUUAGGUCUACGCUGAUUAGGAUUGAGGAUAGGGAGUUGAGUGCUUACCUAGUGGAAUUGAGUAUAGCAGAGUUUGAUAUUAUACUUGGAAUGAAUUUCUUGUCCAAGUACGCUGCUAGUAUUAAUUGUAAGUGGAAGAUGGUAACCUUUCAACUUGAGGGUGAAGAACUAUUUGUAUUUUUGGGGUCAGUUAAAGGCUCUUGAAUUCCAAUAAUCUUAAUGUUGAAGGCUAAAGACUUGUUGCAUGAAGGAUGCGUAGGGUUUUUAGCAGUAGUGUUGGAUACCACCCAACCAGAGUCAGUCCGACCUAAGGACAUU